AAAUAUGUCAUUAAUAGUUCAAUUGUUGCUAUUAAAAUCGUUGAAAAUAAUAAAAAAAUCUUUAGAUGACACACUGGGAGAAAAAUUCAUUAAGGAAGUUUCCGCCAUGCCACGGUUAUAAAAUCACUCAAAUGUUCUCAAAAUCUACGAAGUAGUAGCAAUUAAAACAAAAAUACAUUAUCUAUGAAGUUAUGAAAACUAGACAAAAAUAGGUUUUGUGAUGGAAUAUACUUUCAGGUAGCUUUUCAUUAAAUUGCAAUGAGGCAAGCAACUAUCUAAUAAUACACAAAUUUGGAUGCGUUUGGCAUUCCAGAAUUACACAGCAUUACCAUCCCGUAUAGCAUUAAAUUAAUACAACCCUAUGUUUGGCUAAAAACUGACUUCGUAUUAUACCGCAUAACAUUACUGUUGUUAUACAGUUAAAGCCGCAUUAACUAAACCCGUGGGGGGUAUCGGGUUUACGCGUGAUUGCUUUUAAAGAAAGGGCAAAAAAAAGAGUAAUAGUUUUUCUUCUUCAAAACACGAUUAAGCCACAGAACACAUCUUCUCUUUGCUUCCAUUCUCUUCUCAAAACCCAAUCUAUCGCCGACACCGGCUCAGCCAUAACAUUUAUCACCGACACUAGCACGGCAACAGCCACUUUGAGUACUCGAUGCUGUCAAUGCCGUCAAGUUCUCCCGCGCGGCACCCAUACUCCACCAUCUCUAUGCCGCGGGUCCGCAGCCACUGUACGAUAUCACAACAAAUUCAUAUUAGCAUUUUUGCCUUUAUCCAUAACUUGAGUGUUUUAAAUUAUAAAAGCCAUUUUUUAAAAAAGUAAAAAGAAAAAUCAGACCCCUGUGACAGUGUUACUUAUUCUUUUUUGCUUAUUUUCUUUAUUCUUUUCUUCUUCUAAAGAAAAGGAUUUAAAGGGAGGAAAAAGGAUUUAUCGACAAAAUAAAUAAAUAAAUAAAUGAAGGAUGCAAAGAACCGAAAAAAAAAAAAUUGUGGAAUGAUAACAAGGGGAGAAAAAAGAAACAUAGGAAGAAAAGAACAGAGAAGAAAUUAAAGAGGGUUGAAGGUUGAAGAUUGAAGAUUUUGUCCUGUAAAAGAAGGAGAUAAAGAGAUAAGGAUGACAUGUCAAUGCAUAGACACAACUUGUGUUUAUUAUUUUAUAAUUUUAUUUUACCAAUUUUUUUAUAGAAUUUAUUUUAC
rnacentral:lncRNA from 1 species